GCCUUGAUGGUGAAAUGGUAGACACGCAAGUUUCAAAAUCUUGUGCUAUAGGCAUAGAGGUUCGAAUCCUCUUCAAGGCA
rnacentral:tRNA from 1 species